GAAGUCUGUAGAAAGCUGUGAGCCGGAGCUGAUGAAGUCUUGUGCCUCCCCACGUCUGUAAAUCCAGGCGGAGCCACCACACCCUGGAAGCAGCACUCUCGCAUCUUGGAAUCGGCUCCCUCCAGAAGGGCAGAGAUGUUUCCGGAGACUCAAGAUCUGCCCCUCCUCCUUAAAUCCCAUGUGAUUAAAAAAACAAACAAACCUGAGACCACCACAGGGAUGGGAAGACCAGCAUCUGAAACACCCAAACAUAUUGGGUGCUUCUGAGGAUUUCAGAAUUUGAAAAGGUCAAAAGACAGAAGCCGAAGGUCAGAAGUGAGGAUGACGAAGCGAAGGCAAGAGGGACAGAUUUCUGUAAAAGCCUCAGAGAGGCAAAACUCAGAAGGACCUGAAAGUUCACCCCAAUGCAAAGAACAGCACAAGGACUGCGGAAAUGCGUCUGGGACAGCCAGGUAUACCACCGAGACAGUGACCGUUGAACGUUCCUUCCUCAAAACUCGUGCAAAACACAACUCAACUGACCCAAGUCAUUGCGCCAUUUUCUUCUGAAACUGGAGCAGUUGUGGGAAAAAGAAGAGGUGACAGAGAUGCUCUAGCUGAGAUGCGACAGCUGAUGAACCAAACAGGCUAACUGUAAAAAGACAUUGUUUGAGAAAAGUGGGGAAAUCCGGACAGGUACUGGAUGAAGUACUGCUUAUUUUCGUGACUGUGAUAAGGCACUGAGGUUCUGUAGGAAAAUGCUUUCUCAAAUGUGUCGGGAUGAAAUGACUUGUCCUGGCUGUGUCAUUAAAAGAGGGGAUAUGAAAAUGUAGCCCUUGGAGUUGCAAAGAGUCGGACACGACCUAGUGACUGAACAAUGAAAAUGUAGCAAGAUUUUUGUAAUUGUUUUAGGUGGAUGAUGAGUAAAGGGCAUUGAUUAUAUAAUGCUCUUCCUUUCUGGUGUAUGCUUGAGAAGUUUCCUAAUUAAAUAACAAAAAAGUUGAUUCAGACCCUGGAUGUGAUACCCAUCUUCUCAGGUCCACUCACUCACCCGCCCCAGCUCCUGCUGGCCCCCGACUGUUAGAG
rnacentral:lncRNA from 1 species